rnacentral:misc_RNA from 1 species
GUAGGAUAAUCAAAGCUUUGCCAUGCAAUUCUUUCACUUGUACCUCCUCGGACCAAAACCAAAUUUCCUGAAUCCAAUAGCUGAGCCUCACAAUCACCUGUUGCUUCCACCGAAAUAUUGGUAGACCAUACCUGUGUUUUUCGGUCACGAUCACCAUAGAGAACGAGGUUUCCAUAUUGGUUGAUUGAGAGAACUCCAGAUGAGCCAUUGAUGGGAUUGUUCCUAUUUGCGACCCACACCACCGUUUGUCCUGAAACCUUGUGGAACCAAAUUCCAAGAUACCUAUAGCUAGAACUGCCGGGGCUGAAAAAACCUAAGGCGAAAGUGUUAUUUUGGGAGAUUAGAAAGUUGCCCCCUGUGAUGGUUUGGUUUAUGGUUAUGGUGUCUAUGGACAUAGAAAAUAUGAAACGCAGAAUUAGAAGCAAGAGAUAGAGAAGCAGCUCCUCAGCAGCCAUGAUAAUUUUUUUUUUUUUUUUAU